rnacentral:rRNA from 1 species
GAUGAACGCUGGCAGCGUGCCUAAUACGUGCAAGUCGAGCGAACAGACGAGGAGCUUGCUCCUCUGACGUUAGCGGCGGACGGGUGAGUAACACGUGGAUAACCUACCUAUAAGACUGGGAUAACUUCGGGAAACCGGAGCUAAUACCGGAUAAUAUAUUGAACCGCAUGGUUCAAUAGUGAAAGACGGUUUUGCUGUCACUUAUAGAUGGAUCCGCGCCGCAUUAGCUAGUUGGUAAGGUAACGGCUUACCAAGGCGACGAUGCGUAGCCGACCUGAGAGGGUGAUCGGCCACACUGGAACUGAGACACGGUCCAGACUCCUACGGGAGGCAGCAGUAGGGAAUCUUCCGCAAUGGGCGAAAGCCUGACGGAGCAACGCCGCGUGAGUGAUGAAGGUCUUCGGAUCGUAAAACUCUGUUAUUAGGGAAGAACAAAUGUGUAAGUAACUAUGCACGUCUUGACGGUACCUAAUCAGAAAGCCACGGCUAACUACGUG